rnacentral:lncRNA from 1 species
AAUAUACAAAGUUUAAUCAUCUUGACAUACCACUCAACCAUACCACAGACAAUUCCCUGAUUUUUCAGAAAAUGAGAGAAACCUUUCAGCACCGUCAGACGCUUGUUAAUGACCCAAGCAGAGGUGUUGAUACCCUCUCCAUCUUCCCAAGAUUCCUGGAUACCAAAGGAUUGGUAAGUUUGGAAUUAAAUGUUUACAAUGGCUUGACGUAUUUCCUGUAGUAGUAACGGUAAUAUCUUCUUUCGUAAAGGUGGAUCAAGACUUCACCCUCCUAUUUGAUCAUGAAACAUCCUCCAGGCCCCUUCAGAAAUGGGAUUCUUCAGUCCAAAUGUCAUAAAAGAGGCUAAGUGGCUUACUUCAACACCCAGAGUUGCGUCGCUUGUUGCAGAGAGUCCCACAGGAAGUGAUCUUGAUGAGACAACAAUCAUGCUGCAGUUUGGAGGAGCAUCUCCGCAACCAGCAGGGUCGGCAGCCAUACCUCCUCGCUGUUGGGCGUCAGAAGAGCAAGAUUGACAGCUUCUACAUCACCAUGGAUAAGCAUCUCAUCCCACGGCAGGCAAACCGCUCCCUGCCUUGGGGCUUUC